CCUACGGGAGGCUGCAGUGAGGAAUAUUGGUCAAUGGACGAGAGUCUGAACCAGCCAAGUAGCGUGAAGGAUGACUGCCCUAUGGGUUGUAAACUUCUUUUAUAUGGGAAUAAAAUGUUCCACGUGUGGGAUUUUGUAUGUACCAUAUGAAUAAGGAUCGGCUAACUCCGUUCCAGCAGCCGCGGUAAUACGGAGGAUGCGAGCGUUAUCCGGAUUUAUUGGGGUUAAAGGGAGCGUAGGUGGAUUGUUAAGUCAGUUGUGAAAGUUUGCGGCUUAACCGUUAAAUUGCAGUUGAAACUGGCAGUCUUGAGUACAGGAGAGGUGGGCGGAAGUCGUGGUGUAGCGGUGAAAUGCUUAGAUAUCACGAAGAACACCGGGUGAGAAGGCAGCCCACUGGACUGCAACUGACACUGAGGCUCGAAAGUGUGGGUAGCAAACAGGAUUAGAUACCCCAGUAGUC
rnacentral:rRNA from 1 species